rnacentral:rRNA from 1 species
GGGCCUACGGGGGGCAGCAGUGGGGAAUAUUGCACAAUGGGGGGAACCCUGAUGCAGCGACGCCGCGUGGGUGAAGGAGUACUUCGGUACGUAAAGCCCUAUCAGCAGGAAAGAAAAUGACGGUACCUGACUAAGAAGCCCCGGCUAACUACGUGCCAGCAGCCGCGGUAAUACGUAGGGGGCAAGCGUUAUCCGGAUUUAUUGGGUUUAAAGGGUGCGCAGGCGGUCUGUUAAGUCAGCGGUCAAAGCCCGGGGCUCAACCCCGGCCCGCCGUUGAAACUGGCAGUCUCGAGUUGGAGAGAAGG